GGAGGGAUGGCCGAGUGGACGAAGGCGGCGGUCUUGAAAACCGCAGGGCGUUAUGCCCCGGGGGUUCGAAUCCCUCUCCCUCCG
rnacentral:tRNA from 1 species